rnacentral:misc_RNA from 1 species
GGGAUAGGCCUUCCAAGGCUGAAGUGCUCAAAUAUCCAUGCCUGUAAGAGUGUAAGAUUUCCAGAUAUUUGUCUCACCCCACUUCUGGUUGCAAGACCCAUCUGCCUAUAAAGGUGGGCAAGUACGCCCAUGCCCCAGGCCAAGUUAUGUACACCAUCCAAGUCCAUAAGACUUUGUAAGUAGUAUGCAGAGAUCUUAUUUCCAGUCUUGUCCGGAAAGACUGUGCAACCGAGCAAAUACAACAAGUAACCUCUGGCACAUUGAUCAUGCCGUUCUGGAGUCGAAUUUUCAGUUGUCCCACU